GUCACCCCUAUGUCUUAAAAGUUUUGGGGGAAAAAAAAUCAUAUUUUAUUUAUCACUACAGAAGGGUUCAGUGAAUGUGCAUAUGGAACUGGUGGGUUCGAUAGCACAAAAAAUGUUAAGAACCACUGUUUUACUGCUUUGCU